rnacentral:tRNA from 1 species
GCCUUCGUGGUGUAAUGGUAGCACACUCGGCGCACAUUCGAGAGAUCCAAGUUCGAGUCCUGGUGAGGACA